rnacentral:rRNA from 1 species
UACGGAGGAUUCAAGCGUUAUCCGGAUUUAUUGGGUUUAAAGGGAGCGUAGACGGGGAAUCAAGUUAGUUGUGAAAUCCCUCGGCUUAACUGAGGAACUGCAACUAAAACUAAUUUUCUUGAGUGCUGGAGAGGAAAGUGGAAUUCCUAGUGUAGCGGUGAAAUGCGUAGAUAUUAGGAGGAACACCAGUGGCGAAGGCGACUUUCUGGACAGUAACUGACGUUGAGGCACGAAAGUGUGGGGAGCAAACAGG